ensembl:lincRNA
AGGGGCAUUCCUUUAUUUUAUUUAAAAUUGGUUUGGGGCAUUAAAACUAAGUAGCCAACGAAAAGCAAGCCCGCAGACUCCCUACGUUUAUACCUGGAGCCCGAGGUGGGUGCUGGGCGACUGUGGUUUCCCAGGUGCGCAGACGCCCAUGUGCGCAAUCAGAGCGCCUAAGCCCCGCGCAGAUCCGGCACCCCCUUGGGGGGUGAUCCCCGCCAGGGCCUGGCUCUCUCGACCCCCAAACGCUGUCCCCAUCCUUCUCAUAAUGAUAACACCGAAAAUUCCACCACUGGAGCUUCCUCUCUGAGGCCUAAGGCUUUGAUUUCUGUUCCAUGCAAAUCUCCUCAGGCAGAGUCGGACUUCCCUGUGGCUGAGGGCUAUUUUGUGCGCAUGAAUAUGCAUAGAGACCUGUGAUGUCAGAAUGGGAACUAAGACCUAGAAAGUAAUCCCUGCUGCCCUUUCGCUGGCCCAGGAAGGGGUGAAUCACAGAUCAGUGUCAGAGGUGCGAUGAAAACCCAGGAGUUCUGAUUCCUGGGUCACCAUGCUCCCUUUGCCAAGGGUGGAGCCGACACCAACAGACUCUUAGCUGCUGUGCCCUGUGCAUCCUGGUGUUCGUGCACGUGCUGCACGGCCUGCAGACAGAUCAUCAGAAAAUUCAACUUUCAAGUGAGGAUCGUAAGCCAGAGAGUGCAGGACUCCACACCAGGGCAGAUGACCUGUGGAUUCCAGAAGCUCUCAGGAAUUUUGCAGAUUUCUCAAGGGCAACCCUGUCCAUAGAACGGGGAAAAGAACAAGCCCAUGCCUCCAAAGAGAAACUUCACAGUUCGCCUAAGUUUAACCUCUAG